GCCAAAAUAGCUCAGAUGAGAGAGCAUUAGACUGAAGAUCUAAAGGUCCCUGGUUCAAUCCUGGGUUUCUGCAGUGGCG